GUGCAACUCGGGAAAACGGUAUACUACCACCUAGGUAUUCUUGUCCUAAAGAAAUUGACUAUGUCCUCUGUAUGGAAGAGAAUUCGAUACGUAAUACAUGUACAAAUUUCAUAGGGAGUCAGGACACUCUCAAAGUACCAGUGGUUGUGACGCUAAUUGUAACACCUUUAGCUAUUUUGCUGACUAUCGCAGUGAUUGUAUACAUCUGAAGACGAAGACGAAAAAUGAAACCUAAGACACCAGAGAAGAGUAAUUCUGAUACAAAUUC